rnacentral:misc_RNA from 1 species
GCGGUGCUUGUUGAACCAGAGGGAGCUUUUGAAAUGCUGUACUCAUCUUCAGUAAUUAUAGUGCUCAUAAAGUUCAUGUCAUCAAAGAAACAAUCUUGUUUAUUAACUGGUUUGGUACACUUGGCUUUUGAUCCUUCUUUGGGAUUAUUUUUUGAUGGUGAAUGUAUGGAAUCGUGAUCUCUCUGUGGAACAUAGCCUUCAAUUGAAUUUGAUGGACCAAUCCACUCUUCCAAAGGCACCUCCCCCACAUUGGUUUCCAUCUUCUCCUGAAUCUUCAAUUUAGACAGCCCUAAGUCCCCAUUUUCCCCCAAAUCUUCAGAAUCUAAACCCAAACUAUCAAACAUCCUUAGAAUCUCAUUAAGUUUCAUUGGAUUUAGAUUUAGAACAGAACAUCUCUCCUUUUGCAAGCUCCCUGCAAAAGCUCGACUAUUAACAACACAACUGGAAGAGCAAUACAUAUAUGUCUCAUGUUGAUCAUAAACCUUAUGCUCCUUCAAGGAAAUGCGAU